rnacentral:rRNA from 1 species
AACGAACGCUGGCGGCAUGCCUUACACAUGCAAGUCGAACGGUAACGGGCCUUCGGGUGCCGACGAGUGGCGAACGGGUGAGUAAUGCAUCGGAACGUACCUUUCAGUGGGGGAUAACGUAGCGAAAGUUACGCUAAUACCGCAUAUUCUGUGAGCAGGAAAGCAGGGGAUCGCAAGACCUUGCGCUUUGGGAGCGGCCGAUGUCGGAUUAGCUAGUUGGUGGGGUAAAAGGCCUACCAAGGCGACGAUCCGUAGCGGGUCUGAGAGGAUGAUCCGCCACACUGGGACUGAGACACGGCCCAGACUCCUACGGGAGGCAGCAGUGGGGAAUUUUGGACCAAUGGGCGCAAGCCUGAUCCAGCCAUGCCGCGUGAGUGAAGAAA